rnacentral:rRNA from 1 species
UGGGGAAUAUUGCACAAUGGGGGAAACCCUGAUGCAGCGACGCCGCGUGAACGAAGAAGGUAUUCGUAUCGUAAAGUUCUGUCCUAUGGGAAGAUAAUGACAGUACCAUAGAAGAAAGCUCCGGCUAAAUACGUGCCAGCAGCCGCGGUAAUACGUAUGGAGCGAGCGUUGUCCGGAAUUAUUGGGCGUAAAGGGUACGCAGGCGGUUUAAUAAGUCGAAUGUUAAAGAUCGGGGCUCAACCCCGCAAAGCAUUGGAAACUGAUAAACUUGAGUAGUGGAGAGGAAAGUGGAAUUCCUAGUGUAGUGGUGAAAUACGUAGAUAUUAGGAGGAAUACCAGUAGCGAAGGCGACUUUCAGGACACAAACUGACGCUGAGGUACGAAAGCGUGGGGAGCAAACAGG